rnacentral:rRNA from 1 species
CCUACGGGUGGCUGCAGUGGGGGAUAUUGCACAAUGGAGGAAACUCUGAUGCAGCAACGCCGCGUGAGGGAAGAAGGUUUUCGGAUUGUAAACCUCUGUCCUUGGUGAAGAUAAUGACGGUAGCCAAGGAGGAAGCUCCGGCUAACUACGUGCCAGCAGCCGCGGUAAUACGUAGGGAGCAAGCGUUGUCCGGAUUUACUGGGUGUAAAGGGUGCGUAGGCGGCUCUGCAAGUCAGGCGUGAAAUAUAUGGGCUUAACCCAUAGACUGCGUUUGAAACUGUGGAGCUUGAGUGAAGUAGAGGUAGGCGGAAUUCCCGGUGUAGCGGUGAAAUGCGUAGAGAUCGGGAGGAACACCAGUGGCGAAGGCGGCCUACUGGGCUUUAACUGACGCUGAGGCACGAAAGCAUGGGUAGCAAACAGGAUUAGAUACCCGUGUAGUCCG